CCUACGGGAGGCAGCAGUGAGGAAUAUUGGUCAAUGGGCGUAAGCCUGAACCAGCCACGUCGCGUGAGGGAUGAAGGUUCUAUGGAUCGUAAACCUCUUUUAUAAGGGAAUAAAUUGCGGGACGUGUUCCGUUUUGUAUGUACCUUAUGAAUAAGGAUCGGCUAACUCCGUGCCAGCAGCCGCGGUAAUACGGAGGAUCCGAGCGUUAUCCGGAUUUAUUGGGUUUAAAGGGUGCGUAGGCGGCCUUUUAAGUCAGCGGUAAAAGUCUGUGGCUAAACCAUAAAAUUGCCGUCGAAACUGGUAGGCUUGAGAACGUUUGAGGCAGGCGGAAUGCGUGGUGUAGCGGUGAAAUGCUUAGAUAUCACGCAGAACACCGAUUGCGAAGGCAGACUGCCAAGCCAUGACUGACGCUGAUGCACGAAAGCGUGGGGAUCAAACAGGAUUAGAUACCCCUGUAGUC
rnacentral:rRNA from 1 species